rnacentral:rRNA from 2 species
GGACGACUCUCGGCAACGGAUAUCUCGGCUCUCGCAUCGAUGAAGAACGUAGCGAAAUGCGAUACCUGGUGUGAAUUGCAGAAUCCCGUGAACCAUCGAGUCUUUGAACGCAAGUUGCGCCCGAGGCCAUCCGGCCAAGGGCACGCCUGCCUGGGCGUCACGAUU